rnacentral:rRNA from 1 species
UACAGAGGUCCCAAGCGUUGUUCGGAUUCAUUGGGCGUAAAGGGUGCGUAGGCGGCGCGGGAAGUCGGGUGUGAAAUCUCGGAGCUUAACUCCGAAACUGCAUUCGAUACUGCCGUGCUUGAGGACUGGAGAGGAGACUGGAAUUUACGGUGUAGCGGUGAAAUGCGUAGAUAUCGAGAGGAACACCGGUGGCGAAGGCGGCCUUCUGGACAGCCACUGACGCUGAGACGCGAAAGCGUGGGAGCAAACAGG